rnacentral:rRNA from 1 species
GGUAGAGUAGCAAUACUCGAGAGUGGCGAACGGGUGAGUAAUAUAUCGGAACGUGCCCAGUCGUGGGGGAUAACGUAGAGAAAUUUACGCUAAUACCGCAUACGAUCUAAGGAUGAAAGCGGGGGAUUCGCAAGAACCUCGCGCGAUUGGAGCGGCUGAUAUCAGAUUAGGUUGUUGGUGAGGUAAAAGCUCACCAAGCCGACGAUCUGUAGCUGGUUUGAGAGAACGACCAGCCACACUGGGACUGAGACACGGCCCAGACUCCUACGGGAGGCAGCAGUGGGGAAUUUUGGACAAUGGGCGAAAGCCUGAUCCAGCAAUGCCGCGUGCAGGAAGAAGGCCUUCGGGUUGUAAACUGCUUUUGUACGGAACGAAAAGGCUCUUUCUAAUAAAGGGGGCCCAUGACGGUACCGUAAGAAUAAGCACCGGCUAACUACGUGCCAGCAGCCGCGGUAAUACGGA